rnacentral:rRNA from 1 species
UAGGGAAUCUUCGGCAAUGGGGGGAACCCUGACCGAGCAACGCCGCGUGAGUGAAGAAGGUUUUCGGAUCGUAAAGCUCUGUUGUUAAGGAAGAACGAGUGUGAGAAUGGAAAGUUCAUACUGUGACGGUACUUAACCAGAAAGGGACGGCUAACUACGUGCCAGCAGCCGCGGUAAUACGUAGGUCCCGAGCGUUGUCCGGAUUUAUUGGGCGUAAAGCGAGCGCAGGCGGUUAGAUAAGUCUGAAGUUAAAGGCAGUGGCUCAACCAUUGUAGGCUUUGGAAACUGUUUAACUUGAGUGCAGAAGGGGAGAGUGGAAUUCCAUGUGUAGCGGUGAAAUGCGUAGAUAUAUGGAGGAACACCGGUGGCGAAAGCGGCUCUCUGGUCUGUAACUGACGCUGAGACUCGAAAGCGUGGGGAGCGAACAGGAUUAGAUACCCUGGUAGUCCACGCCGUAAACGAUGAGUGCUAGGUGUUAGGUCCUUUCCGGGACUUAGUGCCGCAGCUAACGCAUUAAGCACUCCGCCUGGGGAGUACGACCGCAAGGUUG